rnacentral:rRNA from 1 species
GCCGCGGUAAUACGGAGGGUGCAAGCGUUGUCCGGAUUUAUUGGGUUUAAAGGGUGCGUAGGCGGCCGUUUAAGUCAGUGGUGAAAGUACAGGGCUCAACCCUGUAACUGCCAUUGAUACUGGACGGCUUGAGUGUUGAUGGGGUACAUGGAAUUUAUGGUGUAGCGGUGAAAUGCAUAGAUACCAUAAGGAACACCGAUAGCGAAGGCAUUGUACUUAUCAACAACUGACGCUGAGGCACGAAAGCGUGGGUAGCGAACAGGAUUAGAUACCCUGGUAGUCCACGCCGUAAACGAUGAUCACUCGCUGUUAUCUCCUUCGCGGGGUAGUGGCUUAGGGAAACCGUUAAGUGAUCCACCUGGGGAGUACGCCCGCAAGGGUGAAACUCAAAGGAAUUGACGGGGGUCGCACAAGCGGUGGAGCAUGUGGUUUAAUUCGAUGAUACGCGAGGAACCUUACCUGGGCUAGAAUGUGAAGGAAUGGUUUAGAGAUAGAUCAGUCAGCAAUGACCUGAAACAAGGUGCUGCAUGGCUGUCGUCAGCUCGUGCCGUGA